rnacentral:rRNA from 1 species
GACGAACGCUGGCGGCGUGCUUAACACAUGCAAGUCGAGCGGAGCGGCGAACGGGUGAGUAACGCGUGAGUAACUGCCCCCCUCUCUGGGAUAACAGUUGGAAACGGCAGCUAAUACCGGCUAGUGGGGGAUGACUCGCGUCCUAUCAGCUUGUUGGUGGGGUAGUGGCCUACCAAGGCAACGCCGGGGAGCCGGCCUGAGAGGGCGACCGGCCCCAGUGGGCUGAGAUACGUGCCAGAGUGCAACAGGAGGCAGCGGUGGGAAAUAUUGCACAGUGGGGGACGCCCUGAUACAGCGACGCCGCGGGCGGGAUGACGGCUUUCGGGUUGUAAACCGCUUUCAGCCAUGACGCGGUAGUGGCAGAAGAAGCACCGGCUAACUACGUGCCAGCAGCCGCGGUAAUAC